AUUGAACGCUGGCGGCAGGCUUAACACAUGCAAGUCGAGCGAGCGGCGGACGGGUGGUUAAUGUCUGGGAAACUGCCUGAUGGAGAGGGAUAACUACUGGAAAUGGUAGCUCAUACCGCAUACCAUCAGAUGUGCCCAGAUGGGCUUAGCUAGUAGGUGGGGUAAUGGCUCACCUAGGCGCCGAGCCCUAGCUGGGCUGAGAGGAUGACCAGCCGCACGUGAACUGAGACACGGUCCCGACUCCUACGGUAGGCAGCAGUGGGGAAUAUUGCACAAUGGUCGCAAGCCUGAUGCAGCCAUGCAGCGUGUGUGACGAAGGCCUUCGGGUUGUAAAGCACUUUCAGCGAGGAGGCGUUAGUCGCAGAAGAAGCACCGGCUAACUACGUGCCAGCAGCCGCGGUAAUAC
rnacentral:rRNA from 1 species